CACGAAGGGUUUCGGCCUUAGUGGCGGACGGGUGAGUAACGCGUAGGUAUCUAUCCAUGGGGUGGGGGAUAACACUGGGAAACUGGUGCUAAUACCGCAUGACACCUGAGGGUCAAAGGCGUAAGUCGCCUGUGGAGGAGCCUGCGUUUGAUUAGCUAGUUGGUGGGGUAAAGGCCUACCAAGGCGAUGAUCAAUAGCUGGUUUGAGAGGAUGAUCAGCCACACUGGGACUGAGACACGGCCCAGACUCCUACGGGAGGCAGCAGUGGGGAAUAUUGGACAAUGGGGGCAACCCUGAUCCAGCAAUGCCGCGUGUGUGAAGAAGGUCUUCGGAUUGUAAAGCACUUUCGACGGGGACGAUGAUGACGGUACCCGUAGAAGAAGCCCCGGCUAACUUCGUGCCAGCAGCCGCGGUAAUACGAAGGGGGCUAGCGUUGCUCGGAAUGACUGGGCGUAAAGGGCGUGUAGGCGGUUUGUACAGUCAGAUGUGAAAUCCCCGGGCUUAACCUGGGAGCUGCAUUUGAUACGUGCAGACUANAGUGUGAGAGAGGGUUGUGGAAUUCCCAGUGUAGAGGUGAAAUUCGUAGAUAUUGGGNAAGAACACCGGUGGCGAAGGCGGCAACCUGGCUCAUUACUGACGCU
rnacentral:rRNA from 1 species